UACGUAGGGUCCGAGCGUUGUCCGGAAUUAUUGGGCGUAAAGAGCUCGUAGGCGGUUUGUCGCGUCUGCUGUGAAAUCCCGAGGCUCAACCUCGGGCCUGCAGUGGGUACGGGCAGACUAGAGUGCGGUAGGGGAGAUUGGAAUUCCUGGUGUAGCGGUGGAAUGCGCAGAUAUCAGGAGGAACACCGAUGGCGAAGGCAGAUCUCUGGGCCGUAACUGACGCUGAGGAGCGAAAGCAUGGGGAGCGAACAGG
rnacentral:rRNA from 1 species